rnacentral:tRNA from 1 species
UUUAAUUGAAACCAAAUUAGAGGUAUAUCACUGUUAAUGAUAACAUUGGAGAUUUCCCAAUUAA